AAGAGUAUUGGAAGCAGUAUGGGUGCACUCUUAUGUCUGAUGGAUGGACGGAUAAACGGGGAAGGCACUUAAUUAAUUUUCUCGUUAACUGUCCAGAUGGGACUUAUUUCAUGGGAUCUGUUGAUGUAUCUAGUAUGGUUCAAACCGCAGAGAAGUGGUAA